rnacentral:rRNA from 1 species
UGGGGAAUAUUGGGCAAUGGGGGAAACCCUGACCCAGCAACGCCGCGUGAAGGAAGAAGGUCUUCGGAUUGUAAACUUCUUUGAUCAGGGACGAAGAAAUGACGGUACCUGAAGAACAAGCCACGGCUAACUACGUGCCAGCAGCCGCGGUAAUACGUAGGUGGCAAGCGUUAUCCGGAUUUACUGGGUGUAAAGGGCGUGUAGGCGGUUCUGCAAGUCAGAUGUGAAAUUCCCGGGCUUAACCCGGGCGCUGCAUCUGAAACUGCAGAACUUGAGUACUGGAGAGGAUAGUGGAAUUCCUAGUGUAGCGGUAAAAUGCGUAGAUAUUAGGAGGAACACCAGUGGCGAAGGCGGCUAUCUGGACAGUAACUGACGCUGAGGCGCGAAAGCGUGGGGAGCAAACA